rnacentral:lncRNA from 1 species
AAAAACUGGGGUGUAUUUUCCUUAGGCAAUGAUUUGCCUCCUAACUCCUUCUCCAUGAGGCUGGGAAAACUAAUGUUUUACCUCAUUGGGGAAGGGAAGAAGGAAGUUACUCUUCCAAACAGAAAGUAAAUUACAAGCAUGGCACAUUCUAUGAAAAAGCAGUGCAUUACCUGUCUCAAACAGCUUUCAGGUUUAGUAUUUUUUUUCAUGAGUGCACUGAUCCUUUCACUUAUCUAGUCUAAAAUUCAGGGGAGAAAUUCAUUUCCCUACAACCCUUUGCCAUUUGGGCCUACCCAGUCUCCAAGAUUCAUCUAAUUUGGGAUUCCUUCACACUAUGCUCAGCAAGGAGUUCUCCCUUGCUAUGGGAGAUCCAAGAGCUUUGACAAAAGGUAUCUGAAUGGAUUGAGAAAGGAACUUUAAAAAGUCUGGAGGAGAAGGGAACAAAGGAGCCAUUAUAUAGUGCCAAGAAGCACAAGGUCAAAGAGACCAACCAAUCCUAAUGGGGUUGAUGAAAAUCUUCACAGUACAAAGGAGCACAAGGUCAAAAAGGACCAAACCAAUCCAGAGAAGCCUAUCUGCGAUGAAAGUUAUCAUGAGAUCUUAACUGAAGGAGGAAUAAGCAAUUCAAGCCUCUUCUCCCCACAUCUUUCCUCAAGGAAGAUUCCUGCUAAGGGAGAAAACAAGCCGUUAGGAUGGGAUAUUCACUCUUCUCUUCUCGGAGAAAAGAUUUUAGAAAAAGACAUAACAAAGUUCAUUUGGAUCAAGGAUAUCCAGGGAAAUCAUGAAAAUAAAAAUACAAACGAAGGUGGACUUGCAGUACCAAAUCUCAAACUAUACUAUAAAGCAGUGGUCAUCAAAACAAUUUGGUACUGGCUAAGAGACAGAAUGGAGGAUCAGUGGAAUACACU